UUCCCGCCCGCUCCUUGGAAUAACCCCUGAGGCUUCAGCCGUCGCCGCAAAGUUUCCCGAGGAGACCCGCCUCCUCGGCCGCUGCGCAGGGUGAAGUGCUUCCUGGAGAGAGAGAGAACCUCACCUCUCAGAGAAGAUGGAAUUCCCCUGUUUUGCUGCCAAACUGACAGGCUUUCUUGCUCCUGCCUGUACCUACCUGGCCAGCCCCUUCCUGCCUCCAUGGGGCCUCCCUUGUCACUCAUCCUGUCUCCCUGGGUGGCCACCCCUCCUGGGGUGGUACUUUCCAGCCAGCUUUUAAGGGCAUUCUAGUGUCUCCCAUUAAAAAUACCCCCAACCUCUCUGUC